rnacentral:lncRNA from 1 species
UGCGUACGAAGUUCGUUAUGAAAUGGAGUGGUUGUUGUAUUGUAUAGUUGUAGAGAUUGGAUUUCACUCAAAACCAACCAAAUGACUCCUCCCACCGCACUAUGAUGUUUCCCAAGUUUUGGACUCAAUCCAAUAUCGAUUGCUCCAUGAAAUUGAACAAUUCAGGUGCGUACGAAGUUCGUUAUAAAAUGGAGUGGUUGUUGUAUUGCAUAGUUGUAGAGAUUGGAUUUCACUCAAAACCAACCAAAUGACUCCUCCCACCAUAUUAUGAUGUUUCUCAAGUUUUGGACUCAAUCCGAUAACGAUUGGUCCAUGAAAUUGAACAAGUCAGGUGCGUACGAAGUUCGUUAUGAAAUGGAGUGGUUGUUGUAUUGCAUAGUUGUAGAGAUUGGAUUUCACUCAAAACCAACCAAAUGACUCCUCCCACCAUAUUAUGAUGUUUCCCAAGUUUUGGACUCAAUCCGAUAUCGAUUGGUCCAUGAAAUUGAACAAUUCAGGUGCGUACGAAGUUCGUUAUGAAAUGGAGUGGUUGUUGUAUUGCAUAGUUGUAGAGAUUGGAUUUCACUCAAAACCAACCAAAUGACUCCUCCCACCGUACUAUGAUGUUUCCCAAGUUUUGGACUCAAUCCAACAUCGAUUGGUCCAUGAAAUUGAACAAUUCAGGUGCGUACGAAGUUCGUUAUGAAAUGGAGUGGUUGUUGUAUUGCAUAGUUGUAGAGAUUGGAUUUCAUUCAAAACCAACCAAAUGACUCCUCCCACCAUAUUAUGAUGUUCCCCAAGUUUUGGACUCAAUCCGAUAUCGAUUGGUCCAUGAAAUUGAACAAUUCAGGUGCGUACGAAGUUCGUUAUCAAAUGGAGUGGUUGGUGUAUUACAUAGUUGUAGAGAUUGGAUUUCACUCAAAACCCACCAAAUCACUCCUCCCACCACAUUUUGAUUUCUUGGACUCAAUCCGAUAUCGAUUGGUCCACGAAAUUGUACAAUUUAGGUUUGUACGAAGUUCGUUCUGAAAUGGGGUGGUUGUUGUAUUGCAUAGUUCUAGAGAUUGAAUUUCACUCAAAACCCCCUAAAUGACUCCUCCCACCACAUUAUGAUGAUCCCCAUGUUUUGGACUCAGUCCGAUAUCGAUUUGUCCAUGAAAUUGUACAAUUUAGGUUCGUACGAAGUUCGUUCUGCAAUGGAGUGGUUGUUGUAUUGCACAGUUCUAGAUAUUGAAUUUCACUCAAAGCCCACCAAAUGACUCCUCCCACCAUAUUGUGAUGAUCCCCAAGUUUUGGACUCAAUCCGAUAUAGAUUGGUCCAUGAAAUUGGACAAUUCAGGUUCGUACGAAGUUCAUUAUGAAAUGGAUUGGUUGUUGUAUUGCAUAGUUUUAGCCAUUGGAUUUCACUCAAAAGUCACCAAAUGACUCCUCCCACCAUAUUAUGAUGUUCCCCAAGUUUUGCACUCAAUCCGAUAUUGAUUGGUCCAUGAAAUUGGACAAUUUAGGUUGGUACGAAGUUCGUUCUUAAAUGGAGUGGUUGGUGUAUUGCACAGUUUUAGCCAUUGGAUUUCACCCAAAAGUCCCCAAAUGACUCCUCCCAUCACAUUAUGAUGUUCCCCAUGUUUUGGACUCAAUCCGAUACCGAUUGAUCCAUGAAAUUGGUCAAUUCAGGUUCGAACGAAGUUCGUUCUGAAAUUGAGUGGUUUGUGUAUUUCAAAGUUUUAGCCAUUGAAUUUCACUCAAAAGUCACCAAAUGACUCCUUCCACCAUAUUAUGAUGUUCCCCAAGUUUUGGACUCGAUUCGAUACCGAUUGAUCCACGAAACUGGUCAUUUCAGGUUCAUACCAAGUUCGUUACGAAAUGGAGUGGGUGGUGUAUUGCGUAGUUUUAGCCAUUGGAUUUCACUCAAAAGUCACCAAAUGACUCCUCCUACCAUAUUAUGAUGUUCCCCAAGUUUUGGAAUUAAUCCGAUAUCAAUUGGUCCAUCAAAUUGGUCAAUUCAGGUUCGUACGAAGUUUGUUCUAAAAUGGAGUGGUUGGUGUAUUGCAUAGUUCUAGAGAUUGGAUUUCACUCAAAACCCACCAAAUGACUCCUCCCACAAUAUUAUGAUGAUCCCCAAGUUUUGGACUCAAUCCGAUAUCGAUUGGUCCAUGAAAUUGGACAAUUUAGGUUCGUACGAAGUUCGUUAUGAAAUAGGGUGGGUGGUGUAUUGCAUUGUUUUAGCAAUUGGAUGUCAUCCAAAAGUCACCAAAUGACUCCUCCCAUCACAUUAUGAUGUUCCCCAGGUGUUGGACUUAAUCCGAUAUCGAUUGGUCCAUGAAAUCGAACAAUUCAGGUUCGUACUAAGUUCGUUCUCAAAUGGAGUGGUUGGUGUAUUGCAUAGUUUUAGCCAUUGGAUUUCACUCAAAUAUCACCAAAUGACUCCUCCCACCAUAUUAAGAUUUUCCCCAAGUUUUGGACUCAAUCCGAUAUCAAUUAGUCCCUGAAAUUCGACAAUUCAAGUUCAUACGAAGUUCGUUGUGAAAUGGAGUGAUUUGUGUAUUUCAAAGUUUUAGCCAUUGGAUUUCAUUCAAAACUCACCAAAU